AGUGAACGCUGGCGGUAGGCCUAACACAUGCAAGUCGAACGGCAGCACAGUAAGAGCUUGCUCUUACGGGUGGCGAGUGGCGGACGGGUGAGGAAUACAUCGGAAUCUACUUUUUCGUGGGGGAUAACGUAGGGAAACUUACGCUAAUACCGCAUACGACCUACGGGUGAAAUCAAGGGAUCUUCGGACCUUGCGCGAUUGAAUGAGCCGAUGUCGGAUUAGCUAGUUGGCUGGGUAAAGGCCCACCAAGGCGACGAUCCGUAGCUGGCCUGAGAGGAUGAUCAGCCACACUGGAACUGAGACACGGUCCAGACUCCUACGGGAGGCAGCAGUGGGGAAUAUUGGACAAUGGGCGCAAGCCUGAUCCAGCCAUACCGCGUGGGUGAAGAAGGCCUUCGGGUUGUAAAGCCCUUUUGUUGGGAAAGAAAAGCAGCAGGUUAAUACCCCGCUGUUCUGACGGUACCCAAAGAAUAAGCACCGGCUAACUUCGUG
rnacentral:rRNA from 1 species